GGGAAAGCAUCAUUUAUGCAACCCAUAGUCUUUCACUAAAUCAGCAGCAGACUACGUAUGUAGACACUGAAUGUUGAAGACGUAAGAAGUUUUGAUUGUGAAGACCCUUGCAUGUCAUGGCCAAGAUUUAGGACUUAUUCACUAAGCCACUAACGUAUUUCAUGUGGGGAAAUAUUGGCUCCGAAGCAGAGUUUUGGAGGGAGUGAGGAGGAUUGAUCGGUGCUCAAGUCAUGAUCAAUCUCAUCUCACUUCCCCUUCUGCUGUAUUGCUGCUGGGCAAUCAUCUUCAGGGCUAAGAUAGUCUAAGUCAAUAUUAAAAUGCAAAAGACAAAUAAUCAAGUCGUUAUCAGAUUCCCAUCUGGAAGCAAUUAGGAGCCUGAAGGGCUGGGAUUCAAGAAGGGUACACACACUCUAUUGAAGAACUGAAUGGAAGGAAUGGAAAAGCCUUCAAGCCUGGCAUU
rnacentral:lncRNA from 12 species